rnacentral:rRNA from 1 species
AGUCGACGAUGAAGUGGAGCUUGCUCCCGGAUUAGUGGCGAACGGGUGAGGAACACGUGAGAAACCUGCCUCGGAUUUUGGGAUAACAAAUGGAAACGUUUGCUAAUACCAAAUAACGUCGGAGAGUCACAUGACUUUCUGACCAAAGGAAUUCCGAUUCGAGAGGGUCUCGCGGCCUAUCAGCUUGUUGGCGGGGUAAUGGCCCACCAAGGCAACGACGGGUAGCUGGUCUGAGAGGAUGGUCAGCCCCACUGGGACUGAGACACGGCCCAGACUCCUACGGGAGGCAGCAGUGGGGAAUCUUGCGCAAUGGGCGAAAGCCUGACGCAGCAACGCCGCGUGCGGGAAGAAGGCUUUCGGGCUGUAAACCGCUUUCAGCAGGAACGAAAAUGACGGUACCUGCAGAAGAAGGAGCGGCCAACUAUGUGCCAGCAGCCGCGGUGAUACAUAGGCUUCAAGCGUUGUCCGGAUUUAUUGGGCGUAAAGAGUUCGUAGGCGGUCGAGUAAGUCGGGUGUGAAAAUUCUGGGCUCAACCCAGAGACGCCACCCGAUACUGCUUAACUUGAGUUCGAUAGGGGAGUGGGGAAUUCCUAGUGUAGCGGUGAAAUGCGCAGAUAUUAGGAGGAACACCGGUGGCGAAGGCGCCACUCUGGAUCGACACUGACGCUGAGGAACGAAAGCAUGGGUAGCAAACAGGAUUAGAUACCCUGGUAGUCCAUGCGGUAAACGGUGGGCACUAGGUGUGGGUUUCUAUUAACGAAAUCCGCGCCGUCGCUAACGCAUUAAGUGCCCCGCCUGGGGAGUACGGUCGCCAGACUAAAACUCAAAG